CCUACGGGAGGUAGCAGUGAGGAAUAUUGGUCAAUGGCCGCGAGCCUGAACCAGCCAAGUAGCGUGAAGGAUGACUGCCCUACGGGUUGUAAACUUCUUUUAUAAGGGAAUAAAGUGAGCCACGUGUGCCUUUUUGUCUGUACUUUAUGAAUAAGGAUCGGCUAACUCCGUGCCAGCAGCCGCGGUAAUACGGGGGAUGCAAGCGUUGUCCGGAAUCAUUGGGCGUAAAGGGUUCGUAGGCGGCACGUAAAGUCUGGUGUUAAAGGCAGAGGCUCAACUUCUGUACGGCCCUGGAUACUUGAGAGCGAGAAUUCGGUAGAGGUAAAGGGAAUUCCUGGAGUAGCGGUGAAAUGCUUAGAUAUCACGAAGAACAUCGGUGGCGUAAGCGCCUUACCGGGCCGUAAUUGACGCUGAGGAACGAGAGCCAGGGUAGCAAAUGGGAUUAGAUACCCGAGUAGUC
rnacentral:rRNA from 1 species